CGCCUGUCGUUUGUUUGGGUAGAAUUGUUUUCACAUUUUUUUCAUGAUUUGAGUGUUUUUGGUGAUGACUAUGUAGUGAUCGAUAGUUGCUUUCAUCAACAUAAUUUUUACUUUUUUAAAAGUUUGCUGAUUGGCAAUAAUACGUCCUAUUGCUUUUUAUGUAAAGCUUAAAUAACUUUACAUUUCUAAGUUCCUUGCGUUUGGAAAUAAAUAAGAGAUCAAUAACGGUUAUACGUUCUACUCUGGGACUAUUUAUAACAUAAAAUGUAUAUAAAUACAUUUUUAGAAUGCUGGUUAGUCUAAUUCGUGAUUUACUAGGAUUUCUUUUUUUGAUUCUGUCGUCACCUGUGAGACUUUAUAGACGAAAUAUGCUUUAAGUAUA
rnacentral:lncRNA from 1 species